ensembl:lncRNA
AUGACUUGUACCUACUGUGCCCAUUUUAAUUUCAAAACACACUUUCCUGCUUCCAAUUAUCAGAAAGUAGUUCCUCUGUCUGAGUCCUCUGGAAGGAAGGCUCCACCCCAAGUCAUUUGUCCCCUGCAGUGCGGUGAGAGUUGGGGGGCAGGGGGCGUGUGUGGUCUUGGCUCCCCACCACACAGGGCUUUCUGUUUGUGUCUGGUGUCUCCUGACUGGGCCCCCAUUUGCCCUGAGUCCUGCACUGACCAACAGGACACACGGCUGCCUGACUUCAGACGUCCUCCUGGGUCUGGCCCCUCUUGGCUCCGGGCUGAGGUUUCUCCCCUGUGAAGCUGGCAGCUGCAGCAGUCUCCCCAAGAACAAGCCUGUGAACAGUGCUGUGAGCGUGCCGUUCCCAGAUGUGGGUGAGGGCAGCUGCUGUGGACUAGGAGAGGGGAGGCUCCUCUCACCUCCUCAUCAGGAUGGAGUGUGGCUUUCCCCUCCCAAACUGGAACCUUGGUACUUGUGAGCUGGAAGAAAACUUUGACUCACAAGUGAGGAAACCAAAGUCCACAGCUCAGGUCAAAGAGCUGAUCUUGGCCUUUUGACUCUUAAUCUGUGUACUUUUCACUGUAGUAAACUGCCUCAAGCUUUCACUUCUGGUCAGUUAAUCUCUUCAUUCUAAACUCUUGGGGCUUACAGAGGGAGACAAAUUUUCCAGUGGGUGUACCGGAGGGGACGGAGCUGAGAGAGGUGAGGGGGGUUUCCUGCUGCUCUGUGCAACCCCCCAAGUGCUCUUCUAGAGUCACCGUCUGUGAGCCUGGCCCCAGCUCCCCAGAACUUCACACCUACCUGCCAGGACCUGUAGGCCGGGGAGCCUCUCCGAGGUCUUGGCCACCGUCCCAGCAGGAAAUGGGGCUUCUUAGCUGGUAAGAUAGCUUCAGUAUUAAAAGCUCCUUCUUAGUGUCUUAGGGUCUUCCUGGAGAAUGACCCAUGUGCCCAUGGGCACCUACUAACUUAUUAGUUCUUUACUCCUUGUCUGGCCUGUUACCCACGACUUUGCAUUAACCUGGCUAGGUGUUUCCUGAACUCCUGGUUGGCCAGCAGACAACACCUUUGACCCUCUGAUCUUCUGUAUGGCUCUGGCCUCACUCUGGACACUCAGGCUGUGACUGCUCACAUCCGGGUCCUUCUCCAAGCCUGCUCUUCACCUGCACCUCCAUCUCUCACAGCUCUCCCUACCCUGCCAAGUUCUGAGAACAGCUUGAUCUCCAUAUGGGUUUAAACCAGGCUGACCUUAAAUACAAAAGCCCAAGAAACAAGCUUGUUGUUAUUUUGCUAUGAUUGUGUCACCGAAUAGUACCAUGGCGCUGGUCUGUACAAAACUUGACAGGUGAAAUGCAAACUUUCCAAACAAAUACACCAGGAAGUAUUUGAAUUGUUUACAAAAAGACUCAAAACAUUGAAAAGUUAGAUUUGGAAGGGACAUUAAUAAUACUUCAGUCCAGAGCAUUUCCCAAAGUGCAUUCAAGGAAAAACAAAGAGGAACAUACUUGCAUAUAUUACUCAAUGAAAGAGUCCUGUGCUCAAGGGAAGACACAGCGUACGACAGCCCUCUCACAGGGAUUAAAAAUAUAUGGUAGCAAAUUAAAGACUUGGAAAGUCCUCCGCCAGUGAACCCUCUUGAAUUCUAAGUCAGUGUUUCCCAUGUUAAAUUGAAUACAGAACCGUCUCUUCUUCCAUUCAUCUUAAUCCCAUAGAUUCUGUGUUCUGUGGAUGACGUGCCAGGAGAUGUGACUGAAGUGAGUCCAAACCCUCUUCUCCCAGAGGAGGAGACACAGCCUUAAUGAGGUUUCAGAGGCUCGCUCAGGGUCACACAGUAAGNNNNNNNNNNNNNNNNNNNNNNNNNNNNNNNNNNNNNNNNNNNNNNNNNNNNNNNNNNNNNNNNNNNNNNNNNNNNNNNNNNNNNNNNNNNNNNNNNNNUAAUGAGGUUUCAGAGGCUCACUCAGGGUCACACAGUAAGGACCAGGUACAACUGAUUGUUUCCGGAAGAGGACUUCCAAAUUCCCGUUCCUGUGCUCUUUCCUCUAAACCCUGUUGAUUCCUUUUUAACAAAUAGAUUCCUCUGAGGAUUCCUCAAGAGGUCAAGCAUUCUCCGUUCUCUUAAAAUUAAAUAACCUGUGUCUCUUAUGUCUCCUGCACUGGCAGUCAGGUUCUUCAGCGCUAGCGCUACCUGGGAAGCCCAAGUGAUAAUACAAAUACAUAAAGUAGGGAAAUCAAAGUAAUAUUUCUUCAAACUGGGCUUUCUUUUUUUUAAAAUUCAAAAUCUAUCCUGGAANNUGCAAAAUAAAAGCAAUGAGAUAUCAUUUCACAUCUAUUAAAAUGGCUAAUAACCACAGUAAAAAAUACCAAGUGCCGGCAGGAAUGAGGAGGAACUAAUUGGAAUCCUGAUACGUUGCUGAUGGGAAUGAAAAUGGUGCAGCCUCACUGGAAAACAACUUAGCAGUUUCUUAUAAGGAUCAACAUUCACUUACUAUGCAUCAUUCCUGGAUAUUACCCAAGAGAAAGAAAAACUUAGCUUACAUAAAAAUCUGUAUGCAAAUAUUUAUAGAAGAUUUAUUCAUAAUUGCCCAACAUUGGAAACAAUCCAAAUGUCUUAUCAACAAGUGAAUGGUUAAAUAAACCCUCAUAAAUAU